UUCACUUAUAUUAUGUCUUAUUUCUUAUUGGUGAACUAUCUGUUUAUCUCAUGUUCUGUGACUCUUUUGAAUCAACUGUCAAAGCAAAAGUUGAACAAGACAAAGGAUGGAUCUUCAGGAAACCAGUCUUUUGUGAUGUGAUUCAGGAGAUUCAGAAUGAGAGUAAAAUUUUGAGACUCGAACUUGCAGCCCACUUUGAUCCAGUAAUAUGGAAGAUAAUCAGUUUGCAAAUUCAGAGAAGGAAGAGUGGAGUUGCUACUUCAUUCUCCAUAGUCUUGUAAACUUCAGAGAUUUCCAAGACCAAACGGAAAAUGCUGUGGUACCAAGUUUGUAGUGAAAGCAUCCACCAUCAUUCCAAAUGUAUAAUGUUAUGAACAGAAUAAUAAAG
rnacentral:lncRNA from 1 species